UACGGGGGGGGCAAGCGUUGUUCGGAAUUACUGGGCGUAAAGAGCGUGUAGGCGGCCAGGUAGGUCCGUUGUGAAAACUCGAGGCUCAACCUCGAGACGUCGAUGGAAACCAUCUGGCUAGAGUCCGGAAGAGGAGAGUGGAAUUCCUGGUGUAGCGGUGAAAUGCGCAGAUAUCAGGAAGAACACCUAUGGCGAAGGCAGCUCUCUGGGACGGUACUGACGCUGAGACGCGAAAGCGUGGGGAGCGAACAGG
rnacentral:rRNA from 1 species